rnacentral:rRNA from 1 species
AACGAACGCUGGCGGCAGGCCUAACACAUGCAAGUCGAGCGAGGACUUCGGUCCUAGCGGCGGACGGGUGAGUAACGCGUGGGAACGUGCCCUUUGCUUCGGAAUAGCCCUGGGAAACUGGGAGUAAUACCGGAUGAGCCCUUUGGGGGAAAGAUUUAUCGGCGAAGGAUCGGCCCGCGUUGGAUUAGGUAGUUGGUGGGGUAAUGGCCUACCAAGCCGACGAUCCAUAGCUGGUUUGAGAGGAUGAUCAGCCACACUGGGACUGAGACACGGCCCAGACUCCUACGGGAGGAAGCAGUGGGGAAUCUUAGACAAUGGAGGAAACCCUGAUCUAGCCAUGCCGCGUGAGCGAUGAAGGCCUUAGGGUUGUAAAGCUCUUUCAGCUGGGAAGAUAAUGACGGUACCAGCAGAAGAAGCCCCGGCUAACUCCGUG